UACAGAGGUCCCGAGCGUUUGUUCGGAUUCACUGGGCGUAAAGGGUGCGUAGGUGGUGAGGAAAGUCGGAUGUGAAAUCUCCAAGCUCAACUUGGAAAUGGCAUUGGAAACUACCUUGCUGGAGGUUUUGGAGGGGGGACUGGAAUACUUGGUGUAGCAGUGAAAUCGUAGAUAUCAAGUGGAACACCAGUGGCGAAGGCGAGUCCCUGGACAACACCUGACACUGAGGCACGAAAGCUAGGGGAGCAAACAGG
rnacentral:rRNA from 1 species